AGUGGUCGUGCCGGAGUUGUUAUCGGGCAUGACUAAAAAUUAUGCGGGCAUAGUCCGCGCAGGUACGAAUCCUGCCGACCACGU